AAUUCAGGUUACAGAAUUCACGAUAAAAGAUGCUUACUCACUGAAGUUUUUUGAAAACAACACGAAUCGGUUGCCUAUGUGGUGCAAUGCGGAUGACACAGUGAAGCUUCCUUUCUGUCAAAUUCUAGGGAAGUACCGGAUGGAAUUGCCUGGAUACAAUACAAUGGAUGUAUACGCCCAUAUGAAUGAAAAGUGCCCAUCAAUGCCUCCAAAAUACUACAGGCCACAAAGUUGUUGACAAUGAUUUUUAUGGCCAGCUAUCUUACUGUAGUAAGGUAUGUACAAGGAUGGUUGUUCCAAUGCUUUACAGGUUAGUGUGACAAUUGUG
rnacentral:misc_RNA from 1 species